CAUGUCGACAUGCAUCUAUACCCGGCAUUGGGGAGCAAUCAGAUAGGGCAGAAUUGAUGACCUGGCUCACAAUGGAUUUCUUGGAGCGGGCUGCCAGACCGAGUGUCGACAAGAGGGAGACGAUGAAGAUAAAAAGCAUCGAAGGCCGCUUGUGACAUUUUUCUCGGACGGAGUCACAUGACCACGCACAAAGUCUCUGCUGCGUCGCACAGUUGCGGCAGGCUGAGGAAGCGACUGCAGGCCCCGUUCCUGCUCCUCGGCAGCCGCGCCAGGCUCCCGUUCCUGCUCCUCGGCAGCCGCGCCAGGCUCCCGCUCCUCGGCGCUCGUCCAGCGGCCGCCACCCGUCCCCGCGGCGCUCGUCCAGCGGCCGCCACCCAACCCUAUUGCCUGGCCCCUGCAUUACCAUUGGCUUCGACACCGUGGCCAUCCGCCUGAAUGGCCCUGUAAAGACCCUGAUGCUUGGCGUCCUGGAUGACCUCCUGAACCGCUCAGCCAAGCACCUCACCCCGGGUGGCCUGGAUGGCCACCAAACUGACCUGAGGGGUGGAAAUUAGAAUUCAUUCAAGAGAAUUAUUCCCAUAUAUUACACGACUCAUUGACUUCAACACAUUUUCAAACCACUAUACUCCUAUUUAUAACAAUAUCGGUGCUCAGUUUUUUCAAUGUACUUUACUUGUAUAGAAAGAAAACCGUAGAGGCAAAAGCAAACUACGCCACUCCUUGGGACCCAGUGGCCAUUGAGGGUCCCACAAAAAGCACGAGAAUUGUUUAUAAACACAUUCAAUAUGUAAACAUGUUGGGAGAGCGGCCCCAGAACAAAUUCUGCUCAGGGCCCCGUAAAGGCUGGCAGAGAGCAAUAUGAUGCGAAUACAAAUUUAGACCACUGCCACCACAAUAAUAGCCGAAACAUUGUUAAAUGAUGAAUACGCCAAUAAUAGUAACAAUCUUCGUAAAGGCCCAAUGCGCAGGACUUGUAUUCGAGGUCAAUAAAUCAGAAUGUUUAAAAAUAUAUCUCAUCCUAAUCACCUAUGUGCAAAAAAAAAAAAAAAAAAAAAGGCUAUUUGAGUUUAAAACGAGUUAGUUUCACGUCUUGGUCAGUCGGCUUUCGCUGCUUUGUGGUUGUGGUUGCGGUUGCAUAGGAGUCCUUUAUUUCUAUGUUUUCGGUCAGAUUUGAGUUGUCCCCAAUAAACGAUGUCACAGUUAACCUUAAGUGUUGCUGAAUGAUGGAUGAAGCUCUAAAAUUGUGAUUAAAGAUCUAAAUCUGCAUUCUGCCACACCACUUAAUA